UACAGAGGUCCCGAGCGUUGUUCGGAUUCACUGGGCGUAAAGGGUGCGUAGGUGGCGUGGUAAGUUUGAUGUGAAAGCUCAGGGCUUAACCCUGAAAUGGCAUUGAAUACUACUGUGCUGGAGGUUUGGAGGGGGGACUGGAAUUCUUGGUGUAGCAGUGAAAUGCGUAGAUAUCAAGAGGAACACCAGUGGCGAAGGCGAGUCCCUGGACAACACCUGACACUGAGGCACGAAAGCCGGGGGAGCAAACAGG
rnacentral:rRNA from 1 species